GUCCAGAUGGCAGAGUUCGGCUUUUGCGAAAGGUCUAAGCCCUUUUUACAGGGGUUCAACUCCCCUUCUUGACU
rnacentral:tRNA from 2 species